rnacentral:piRNA from 1 species
UACAAGAAAUGGAAAUGGAAA